GACGAACGCUGGCGGCGUGCUUAACACAUGCAAGUCGAACGGUGACGAGGAGCUUGCUCCUCUGAUCAGUGGCGAACGGGUGAGUAACACGUGAGCAACCUGCCCCAGACUCUGGGAUAACAGUUGGAAACAGCUGCUAAUACCGGAUACGAGACGGAGAGGCAUCUCUACCGUCUGGAAAGUUUUUCGGUCUGGGAUGGACUCGCGGCCUAUCAGCUAGUUGGUGAGGUAAUGGCUCACCAAGGCGACGACGGGUAGCCGGCCUGAGAGGGCGACCGGCCAACGACUGGGACUGAGACACGGCCCAGACUCCUACGGGAGGCAGCAGUGGGGAAUAUUGCACAAUGGGCGAAAGCCUGAUGCAGCGACGCCGCGUGAGGGAUGACGGCCUCGGUUGGUAACUACUUCUAGCAGGAGAAGAGAAGAGAGGACCUGCAGAAGAAGCACCGGCUAACUAACGUCGCACGCAGCGCGGUAACGACGAG
rnacentral:rRNA from 1 species